rnacentral:lncRNA from 1 species
GGACUGCCCCCUUGCCGCAAGGAGCGCUCGGCUCGCCCCGCCGCGGACUCCGAGAGGCCGCUCACUACCAGAGCCGGCGCCUCACCGCCGACCCUUAUAGGUGUACGGCGAGCAGUUGCCGCCCUGUGUGGCCGCCUGGGCUGUCAGUCAGUCGGCAGCCAUUCACGGGGCAGGAGGACGGCGCUGAGGGAGGCGGCGCCACCGCCAAGAGGCGUCGAGGCACCUCGGCUCACCUGCCGCCGGCACGGCGCGGCGCGGCUCAGCGCGGGGCGGGGCGCUAUAGAGAGCCGCCCGCCCGAGGGCUGGGGGUCGCGAGCGGGGGCUGCCCCGCGGGGCCGCGCGGGGAGUGUGGCAGCGACACCUGCCGGCCGGGCGCGGGGCGGCCGAGUUCCGGCGGGCAGCGGCCGUUAAGCUGAGGCGGGCGCGGGGCGGUGAAAGCGUCGGUGCUGAGGAGGGACGGGAGGAGCCCGGCGCUGAGUGGGAAGGAGGCUGCGGCUCGAUCCGGAGCGCGUGGGCUGCUGCCUGGCGUGGCUGUGCGGCGCUGCGGGCAGCGGUGUGCGCGCUGACCUGCGUGGCGUGGGCUGGAGUCGAGCCGCCCUGGCCCAUCGCUUGGGGCUUCUUCCUGCUGUCACUUCAGACCUGCUCUCAAACAGCCACCAUGUCCAGCCAAGCCCACAACAAGAUACAGAUUUCAAGUCAUUGCAAAUGUGCAUCUGCUUACAGCUUUGUAAAGCCUAUGCUGCAGUACUCAAAAGCCUGCCACUUGCCACCCACAUCCAGGAGACUGCAGUGGAACUGCUUCAGCCCAUCCACCAGUAGGGAUACAACAGAAUUGGACCACUGUCCUGCACAUCUGAGUUGUUGGAACCAUCGUGGUUGUUGCAAGCACAAUGCCAGUACAUGAAGGAGCUCGAAUGAUUGCAUUACCUAUUGAGCCAGAAUCUCCAUGUAGAUAUUGCAUGAGCUCAACCUCAGUCUAAUUACAGUGCAGAAAAAAUAGCAGUGCAAAAUGUUAGCAGUUUUUAACAGAUUAGAGCAACUGUAACCUACUUUCUCCAAAUAAAGCCUAUGUACAAGAUCUUGGUUUAUCUGAA